UACAGAGGUCCCAAGCGUUGUUCGGAUUCACUGGGCGUAAAGGGUGCGUAGGUGGCGCCGUAAGUGGGGUGUGAAAUUUCGGAGCUUAACUCCGAAACUGCAUUCCAUACUGCGGUGCUUGAGGACUGGAGAGGAGACUGGAAUUCAUGGUGUAGCAGUGAAAUGCGUAGAUAUCAAGUGGACGACCAGUGGCGAAGGCGGAUGUCUCGUGACUUUCCUGACGCUGAGGCACGAAAGGCCAGGGGAGCAAACGGG
rnacentral:rRNA from 1 species